rnacentral:sRNA from 1 species
GAGUAAAUAACGAGCGACCGGCUAGUGAAAAUAGUUAAAGACACCUCUGAACAAAUAGCAACUUAAUAUCUCGUUGUUGCCAGGUUUCCUGACUUAAAGGUGAUUGGAUCCUAGGACGAGGUGCUCUUCCCUAUACAUUGCUCGGUAGGUUUAAUGUGACACUAAGUGUUAUCAAUCGUGCCCAGAGUCACUCCGUUGACAGUAAAGGUCUAAUUAUGUGUAUAUGAACUCUUAAUGUGAAACAUUAAGAAUCAUUUGUUAAUCUAUUUAUGAAUAUAUUGGUGGAUGAUGCCAUUAUGAAUGUAUGAUUGGGUUUUA